ensembl:miRNA
ACGUGGAGCACCGCUGCCAGGGGUGCAUUCUUGAGGUGGUUGGAACGCACUGUCCUGGGAAGUGGCCCAGGU